AUACGGAGGAUCCGAGCGUUAUCCGGAUUUAUUGGGUUUAAAGGGUGCGCAGGCGGCCAUUUAAGUCAGCGGUUAAAUCGUGGGGCUCCACCCCAUUCUGCCGUUGAUACUGGGUGGCUUGAUUGCGGUCGAGGUUGGCGGAAUUCGUUGUGUAGCGGUGAAAUGCAUAGAUAUGACGAAGAACUCCGAUCGCGAAGGCAGCUCACCGGGCCGGAACUGACACUGAUGCUCGAAAGUGCGGGUAUCAAACAGGAUUAGAUACCCUGGUAGUCCGCACAGUAAACGAUGAAUACUCGCUGUUUGCGAUACACGGUAAGCGGCCAAGCGAAAGCGUUAAGUAUUCCACCUGGGGAGUACGCCGGCAACGGUGAAACUUAAAGGAAUUGGCGGGG
rnacentral:rRNA from 1 species